GAUGAACGCUGGCGGCGUGCUUAACACAUGCAAGUCGAACGGAAAGGCCCAAGCUUGCUUGGGUACUCGAGUGGCGAACGGGUGAGUAACACGUGGGUGAUCUGCCCUGCACUUCGGGAUAAGCCUGGGAAACUGGGUCUAAUACCGGAUAGGACCACUUCUUGGAUGUGGUGGUGGAAAGUUUUUUCGGUGUGGGAUGAGCUCGCGGCCUAUCAGCUUGUUGGUGGGGUAAUGGCCUACCAAGGCGUCGACGGGUAGCCGGCCUGAGAGGGUGUACGGCGACCUUGGGACUGAGAUACGGCCCAGACUCCUACGGGAGGCAGCAGUGGGGAAUAUUGCACAAGGGGCGCAAGCCUGAUGCAGAGACGCUGCGUGGGGGAUGACGGCCUUCGGGUUGUAAACUCCUUUCGCUAUGGACGAAGCGUUUUGUGACGGUACCUGGAGAAGAAGCACCGGCUAACUACGUG
rnacentral:rRNA from 1 species